rnacentral:rRNA from 1 species
GGAGGGUGCAAGCGUUAAUCGGAAUUACUGGGCGUAAAGCGCGCGUAGGCGGUUUGGUCAGUCGGAUGUGAAAGCCCUGGGCUUAACCUGGGAAUGGCAUUCGAUACUGCCUGACUAGAGUAUGGUAGAGGGAAGUGGAAUUUCCGGUGUAGCGGUGAAAUGCGUAGAUAUCGGAAGGAACACCAGUGGCGAAGGCGACUUCCUGGGCCAAUACUGACGCUGAGGUGCGAAAGCGUGGGGAGCAAACAGGGAUUAGAUACCCUGGUAGUCCACGCCGUAAACGAUGAGAACUAGAUGUCGGGAGGGUUGCCUUUCGGUGUCGCAGCUAACGCGUUAAGUUCUCCGCCUGGGGGAGUACGCCGGCAACGGUA